GAUGAACGCUAGCUACAGGCUUAACACAUGCAAGUCGAGGGACCGGCGCACGGGUGAGUAACACGUAUCCAACCUGCCCUUUACUCGGGGAUAGCCUUUCGAAAGAAAGAUUAAUACCCGAUAUAAAGGAUGGGGAUGCGUUCCAUUAGGUUGUUGGUGAGGUAACGGCUCACCAAGCCUUCGAUGGAUAGGGGUUCUGAGAGGAAGGUCCCCCACAUUGGAAACGGGAACAGGUCCAAACCCCUAAGGGAGGCAGCAGUGAGGAAUAUUGGUCAAUUGGGGAUAACCUGAACCAGCCAAGUAGCGUGAAGGAUGUAGGCUUAUGGGUCGUUAACCUUUUUUUUAUAAGAAUAUGUAUUAUAUGAAUAAGGAUCGGCUAACUCCGUGCCAGCAGCCGCGGUAAUUC
rnacentral:rRNA from 1 species